UACGUAGGGGGCAAGCGUUGUCCGGAUUUAUUGGGCGUAAAGAGCGUGUAGGCGGUCAGGUAGGUCCGUCGUGAAAACUCGAGGCUCAACCUCGAGACGCCGAUGGAAACCAUCUGACUAGAGUCCGGAAGAGGAGAGUGGAAUUCCUGGUGUAGCGGUGAAAUGCGCAGAUAUCAGGAAGAACACCCGUGGCUAAGGCGGCUCUCUAGUACGGUACUGACGCUGAGACGCGAAAGCGUGGGGAGCGAACAGG
rnacentral:rRNA from 1 species